rnacentral:sRNA from 1 species
GAGUGUCACGACAUGAUAGAGUGUCAA